rnacentral:sRNA from 1 species
UCUUCCUGCCGUGUGACUGGCGUUUCCUCCCUAAACUCGGGCCGCACCCUUCACGGGAGCGGCCCUUUUUUCUUUGCUUU